AAAGAUCGAAUGGGGAGAUUCAUCGAUCAACGGCGCUGGCUCCCGUUGGUGCGCGAUGUCCCGAAUGGGCCCUUGUGGUUCCAUGGCGAGGGCACGCCACCUUCGGCCUGAAUGUUCCGGUGCCGUAGUCGUGCACUUCUCCCCUAGUAGAACGUCGCGACCCGUUGUGUGUCGGUCUACGGCCCGAGCGGGCGCCUGUCGCGUCGCCUUGUGCGCACGCGUCAGACCCUCGGUCGCCUGGCCGGCUGCACGACGGUACUCCCACGGUAUCGGGCCGCAACCAAUCCAUUCUCGAAUGUGUGUGCGUCAGGCCCGCCGCAAGCUCGGUUAGUUCUUACCCGGUGGUACGGACCUGGUGCCGUCCCCGGGCCUGACCAGCUGUUAGCAGGCGGUGUCCUCGGACUGGCCAAGCUUCGAAUUACCGGUCGGCGACGCUACUGCUUUGGGUACUCUCAGGACCCGUCUUGAAACACGGACCAAGGAGUCUAACAUGUGCGCGAGUCAUUGGGAUGCAUAAACCUAAAGGCGAAAUGAAAGUGAAGGUCGUCCUUUGCGUCGACCGAGGGAGGAUGGGCCGCGUAUUAGUAGGCGGCCCCGCACUCCCGGGGCGUCUCGUUCUCAAUGCGAGAAGAGGCGCACCCAGAGCGUACACGUUGGG
rnacentral:rRNA from 1 species